UAAACAUCUCCUCCGGGCUCGGGGGCCGGCGGGUCGCGGCGCGCAGAGCGCAUCCUCGGGCCGGCCCGGGUCAGGCGCCGCGGGGCUGCAGCUUCCUGUUCCCAAACCCAGGGGCCUGACGGGGUGCCGGCGCCCAGGGGUGUGGGGGCUGCCCCAUCGGCACCAGGGAGGGGGCCAAGUGAGUCAGUCCACCCGCCCCCAACAGCCAAGGGCUCAAGGCUGCUGCUCUGACUUCCUCUGUAAAGCGCCGCCACCCAGAAGGCCCCAAGCAGGAGGGGUCAGAACAAGGCCGCCAAGUGCCUGCUCAUAUACUUGCUCCCGGAUCCCCUUCGCUGGAGAGGGGCUCACCCCUGCAGAGACGUCCAGGAGAGCAGAUCCAUGCCAGCCCCUGGUUAGCCUGCGCCCUGGCUUCAAAGCAUCCAGCAGGAGAAAGCUCCUCAGAGGAGGAGAACAGAUCUCAGCGAUUUGAUUUCUAAGCACCAGGCCUCCAGGCAGCAGCAAAGGGCACAGCGUGGGGCUUGUGUGCAGGCAGGCACCCAGAGGAUUUGCCCCGGAAGGUGGUCCCUUUGCGAUGGUCCUGGCAGCCAGCCGGUGGGAGCAUCCAGAAGACCCGGUUCCUUUCCAGUGAACAAUAAAGACGGGAAAGAAACAGGACGCCGGCCGUGUAGGGACCAGGUGGUCAAGGGAUGUUCAUUUUAAAACUUCAUCAAGGAACCUUAUGACAAAUGACCUUUCCCGGGUAAUGAAAAGGAGCUGAGCACCAGGGGCAGGAAAGUGUUAACGAAUCUCUCCCCCAACCAAAAUAACAUGAAAUGAGAUAAAAAUCCUUGCCGGCCCCCCUCUUGCCAGCAGCCCGACCAUCCUCCUCAGUGGCGGGGUUUUGGCUUCACUACGCAGCCUUAAUUUGAAUUGUGUAUGUGAAAUCGACUACCAAAAGGCAUCUGCAGAACAAUGCAUUUAAUUUGAUUCCA